UUUCAUGUUUGGGCAAGCCCUCAUUGGAUUGGCUCAUGUCUCCUGAGAUGCAUGGUUUACCUAUCAAUUCUUGAUGUCUCCAAGGAGGCUUAACUACUGUGAUUGAUGGCAGAGAGAUCACAGGUUCAGAUGUUCAAGCCAAGGCCCAGUGUGACAUCCUCUCUUCAUGCUGUCUGCUGAUCUGGAUGUAGGACUCUCAGUUCCCUCUCCAGCACCAAGUCUCCCUGCAUGCUGCUAUGCUUCCCACCAUGACAGUAAAGGACUAAACCUAUGAGCUGUAAGCCGGCCCCAAUUAAAUGCUUUAUCUUGUAA